GAGUUUGAUCUUGGCUCAGAUUGAACGCUGGCGGCAUGCCUUACACAUGCAAGUCGAACGGCAGCAUGAUCUAGCUUGCUAGAUUGAUGGCGAGUGGCGAACGGGUGAGUAAUACAUCGGAACGUGCCCUGUAGUGGGGGAUAACUAGUCGAAAGAUUAGCUAAUACCGCAUACGGCCUGAGGGUGAAAGUGGGGGGACCGCAAGGCCUCAUGCUAUAGGAGCGGCCGACGUCUGAUUAGCUAGUUGGUGGGGUAAAGGCCCACCAAGGCGACGAUCAGUAGCUGGUCUGAGAGGACGAUCAGCCACACUGGGACUGAGACACGGCCCAGACUCCUACGGGAGGCAGCAGUGGGGAAUUUUGGACAAUGGGCGAAAGCCUGAUCCAGCAAUGCCGCGUGUGUGAAGAAGGCC
rnacentral:rRNA from 1 species